UUUCCCUUUAUAAAGGAGAAGUGAGGCUCAGUGUCUCAUUACACAGAUGCUGAGCCACCUUUGCAGAUCCAUUGAGGGUUCCCCUGCUAAGUGAUUUUUUUCCUCUGAACCUGAGCAUCUGAAUUUUCAUAUGCAAAUUGUCAGACUACAAGGCUUGACUGAUUGUCCAAUUGAAAGUCCCAGUGGCAUAUAGGGUCUUUAAUCAAGCACUCACGAAUGAUUUGUUGAGUUGUGGUUCCAUACAUUAUUCAUACUUACCAUUCAGCUGAGAUGUACCCCUGAUGAAGUCUUGGGGAAAAAAAAGACGAAACGCGUUGGUUGUCUUUUUCUGAAGUUAUUUUACGAAUCAAUAUUAAGGAAAAAGAGGAAAUUACAGAAAAUUACCUGCAUUUGACUGAGCCUGUGGCAGGAGAAUGGACACCCCGAGGAAGACCCCACAGAUAAAGGAAAGCACAAAUUGAUGGCGACAACAAGUUUAUUGUGCAGGAGGUUGCUGGUCACCGCUGUAAAGCCAAUCGAGAUUAAGAGUGGUACACCAAAAGUUCUCACAAGUGCCACGGGGAUGUGAUGAAGACAGGUCCGAAAACAAACCAAACUUAUUUUACAGCAAUAUUUGGCAACUGUCCAGUGAGGGUGCCAAUAGUGCAAUGUUUGCGGCGAUCUUACAAACAAGAAAAUAUUUGGACAGCUUAACAACAACGUCUUGGAAGUGUCCAUCAUGAAUACACAACAUUGGAUUACAGUAUGCUUUCCUUCUGCUGACUAAAACUACAAAGUCUACUGUAAAAGUUAUGAUGAAAAGGAAUUAUCUUGUCAUACUGAAAACUAC